CCUGACCCUACCUGUUCCGCCGACCCCUCUCCGUCUCGCCCGAGGGCUCGGCUGUAACCUUUUCCUCAAACCAAGGGUGUAUGUGUAAAACUUGGGAACCCUUCAGCGAUUGAGCCUGAGGAUCCCUAACACACCAACCCUCUAGUUUAAGGGUCAGGUCACAAGUUCCUUUCUCGGACCCUUACCUCUUGAUCUCCACCAACUCCCUUGAAC
rnacentral:lncRNA from 1 species